rnacentral:rRNA from 1 species
UCACUUUCAACAACGGAUCUCUUGGCUCUCGUAUCGAUGAAGAACGUAGCGAAGUGCGAUAAGUAAUGUGAAUUGCAGAAUUCCAUGAAUCAUCGAAUCCUUGAACGCAAAUUGCACUCUCUGGUAACCCGGGGAGUAUGCCUGUUUGAGGGUCAGUG